rnacentral:misc_RNA from 1 species
UAGAAAUCAACAUCCAAUUUAGUGCAGGAAGCCAAUUCCUCCUCUGGUGACACAGAUUUUUCGUCGCUAGCAACUCCAGGUUCUUCAAUCGCCGAUUUAGAAUCCACUUGCUUAAUUACCUCCUCUUGCAAUUCUGGUGACUAGGAUGCAGCUCGAGAAUCACCCAUAUUACGCGAAUCUUCACAAGGUUCCACAUUAUAUGUAGAAAUUUUCUCCACUUUUGGUGAAAGAAGUUCCAUUUUCACAGGCUGCUCGCUUUCAUCUUUAACUAAAGAAGCAAUUGAACUGUUU